CAGGAAUCUUGAACACUGAGGGGACAGUGCGGGGACAUGAGUGACUCCCAGGAGCUGGGUCUCCUGGAGGAGGAAGAGCUGAGAACCGGCUUCAUCAGAUUUUUUGCAAGAGACUUAGGAUUCUGACGGAUUUGUGGCCCGAAGAGCUCAGCAGGGUGUCUGGGCCGCAGCCCCUGGGUGCUGCUGCUCCUCUACUUCAUGGUCCUCACUGGACUCCUGGUGACCAUCUUUGUCCAAGUCUCCAAGCUCCCCAACUCCCUGGGGCAGCAGCGAUCCAGGCAGGAGAAGAUCUACCAGGAGCUGACCCAGCUGCAGGCUGCAGUCGGUGAGUUUCCAGAGAGAUCCAGGCAGGAGAAGAUCUAC